UACGUAGGGGGCUAGCGUUGUCCGGAAUCAUUGGGCGUAAAGCGCGCGUAGGCGGCCAGAUAAGUCCGGUGUGAAAGUCACAGGCUCAACCUGUGAAUGCCGCUGGAAACUGUCUGGCUAGAGUCCGGAAGGGGCGAGUGGAGUUCCUGGUGGAGCGGUGAAAUGCGUAGAUAUCAGGAGGAACACCGGUGGCGAAAGCGGCUCACUGGACCGUUACUGACGCUGAGGUGCGAAAGCUAGGGGAGCAAACGGG
rnacentral:rRNA from 1 species